rnacentral:lncRNA from 1 species
CAGGCAAUAGACACAAAUCAUAUUAAAUGUGUUGAGUACAUUCACUACAAACUAACAGCUCAGAGUCUGAAAAGUCCAUUUUUUUGCUCAACCAGUAAUGUUGAGUACAGAUUUUAAUUGACAUGCUUGCCCAAACUGUUCAGGGUUUGACCUCUGUGGUCGUAUAAAGUUAAGGUGACUUGUGUUUAAAUGUGUCGAUCUCUCUGAAAUUGUACUGCAAGGUACCAUAACAGGCAGGAAUUGAGUUUGGGGGUAAUUACUCCAAGGGGGGUUAAAAGAAAAAAAAUUGGGGGGGGGAUUUUUUUCUUCAUAAUUUUUGGGUUUUUAUACUGAUAUGGCAGGAGAUACACACCAAACAGGAUGUGUAAAUUAUUAUAUUAAGUAUUGUGCAAUAGCAAUAGGACACAAAAUGACUUCAUGCUAUAAUGAAUAUGUCCUAAAAACUUUUCCACUAAUUAGCUUUGUAUGGUACAUGUACCUUUUCUUUUUUAAUUCAUGACAGGUAC